GUUUGAUCAUGGCUCAGAUUGAACGCUGGCGGCAGGCCUAACACAUGCAAGUCGAGCGGCAGCGGGGAGUAGCUUGCUACUCUGCCGGCGAGCGGCGGACGGGUGAGUAAAGUCUGGGGAUCUGGCUUAUGGAGGGGGAUAACCAUUGGAAACGGUGGCUAAUACCGCAUGAUGUCGCAAGACCAAAGUGGGGGACUUUAGGGCCUCACGCCAUAAGAUGAACCCAGAUGAGAUUAGCUAGUAGGUGCGGUAAUGGCGUACCUAGGCGACGAUCUCUAGCUGGUCUGAGAGGAUGACCAGCCACACUGGAACUGAGAAACGGUCCAGACUCCUACGGGAGGCAGCAGUGGGGAAUAUUGCACAAUGGGCGGAAGCCUGAUGCAGCCAUGCCGCGUGUGUGAAGAAGGCCUUAGGGUUGUAAAGCACUU
rnacentral:rRNA from 1 species